rnacentral:rRNA from 1 species
UGGGGAAUCUUGCGCAAUGGGCGAAAGCCUGACGCAGCGACGCCGCGUGCGGGAAGAAGGCCUUAGGGUUGUAAACCGCUUUCAGGAGGGACGAAGCCACUCGGGUUAAUAGCCCAGAGGGUGACGGUACCUCCAGAAGAAGCCCCGGCUAACUACGUGCCAGCAGCCGCGGUAAUACGUAGGGGGCCAGCGUUGUCCGGAUUCAUUGGGCGUAAAGCGCGUGUAGGCGGUUCGAUAGGUCCGAUGUGAAAACUCGAGGCUCAACUUCGAGAGGUCAUCGGAAACCAUCGGACUAGAGUCCGGAAGAGGAGAGUGGAAUUCCUGGUGUAGCGGUGAAAUGCGCAGAUAUCAGGAAGAACACCGAUGGCGAAGGCAGCUCUCUGGGACGGUACUGACGCUAAGACGCGAAAGCGUGGGGAGCGAACAGGAUUAGAUACCCCCGUAGUCC